CCUACGGGCGGCUGCAGUGGGGAAUAUUGGACAAUGGGGGCAACCCUGAUCCAGCCAUGCCGCGUGUGUGAAGAAGGCCCUCGGGUUGUAAAGCACUUUCAGUGAGGAAGAACGCCUGGUGGUUAAUACCCAUCAGGAAAGACAUCACUCACAGAAGAAGCACCGACUAACUCCGUGCCAGCAGCCGCGGUAAUACGGAGGGUGCGAGCGUUAAUCGGAAUUACUGGGCGUAAAGCGCGCGUAGGUGGCUUGAUAAGCCGGUUGUGAAAGCCCCGGGCUCAACCUGGGAACGGCAUCCGGAACUGUCAAGCUAGAGUGCAGGAGAGGAAGGUAGAAUUCCCGGUGUAGCGGUGAAAUGCGUAGAGAUCGGGAGGAAUACCAGUGGCGAAGGCGGCCUUCUGGACUGACACUGACACUGAGGUGCGAAAGCGUGGGUAGCAAACAGGAUUAGAUACCCCUGUAGUC
rnacentral:rRNA from 1 species